UUGGCCUACGGGGGGCAGCAGCGGGGAAUAUUGGGCGAUGGGCGCAAGCCUGACCCAGCAACGCCGCGUGAAGGAAGAAGGCUUUCGGGUUGUAAACUUCUUUUAUGAGGGACGAAAGAAGUGACGGUACCUCAUGAAUAAGCCACGGCUAACUACGUGCCAGCAGCCGCGGUAAUACGUAGGUGGCAAGCGUUAUCCGGAUUUACUGGGUGUAAAGGGCGUGUAGGCGGGACUGCAAGCCAGAUGUGAAAAUUAUGGGCUCAACCCAUAACCUGCAUUUGAAACUGUAGUUCUUGAGUGAUGGG
rnacentral:rRNA from 1 species